rnacentral:rRNA from 1 species
UACAGAGGUCUCAAGCGUUGUUCGGAUUUAUUGGGCGUAAAGAGCGUGUAGGCGGCCAGGUAGGUCUGGUGUGAAAACUCGAGGCUUAACCUCGAGAUGUCAUCGGAAACCAUUUGGCUAGAGUCCGGAAGAGGAGAGUGGAAUUCCUGGUGUAGCGGUGAAAUGCGCAGAUAUCAGGAAGAACACCAAUGGCGAAGGCAGCACUCUGGGACGUGACUGACGCUGAGACGCGAAAGCGUGGGGGAGCAAACAGG